rnacentral:rRNA from 1 species
AGUUUAACUGGGGCGGUUGCCUCCCAAAAUGUAACGGAGGCGCCCAAAGGUUCCCUCAGCCUGGUUGGCAAUCAGGUGUUGAGUGUAAGUGCACAAGGGAGCUUGACUGUGAGACUGACAGGUCGAGCAGGGACGAAAGUCGGGACUAGUGAUCCGGCACUGGCUUGUGGAAGCGGUGUCGCUCAACGGAUAAAAGGUACCCCGGGGAUAACAGGCUGAUCUUCCCCAAGAGUCCAUAUCGACGGGAUGGUUUGGCACCUCGAUGUCGGCUCGUCGCAUCCUGGGGCUGGAGUAGGUCCCAAGGGUUGGGCUGUUCGCCCAUUAAAGCGGCACGCGAGCUGGGUUUAGAACGUCGUGAGACAGUUCGGUCCCUAUCUGGUGUGGGCGUUGGAUGAUUGAUGGGAGCUGCUCCUAGUACGAGAGGACCGGAGUGGACGAACCGCUGGUGUUCGGGUUGUCAUGCCAAUGGCAUUGCCCGGUAGCUACGUUCGGAACGGAUAACCGCUGAAAGCAUCUAAGCGGGAAGCCGGCCCAAAGAUGAGUCAUCCCUGACUUUUAAAGUCCGGAAGGGUUGUUAUAGACGAUGACGUUGAUAGGCAGGAUGUGGAAGCGUUGUAAGGCGUUAAGCUAACCUGUACUAAUUGCCCGAGAGGCUUAACC